rnacentral:lncRNA from 1 species
GGGUGUAUUAGGUUGGUUGUCUGCUAAGGCCACAGGGGUUGGCCAAUUUAUGAAGAUGGGUCCUUUUAAUUUUACUGGAGUGAAGGUGAAGGAGGAUCCAUAGGGCUUCUUAGAUAAAAUGGAGAAGAUAUUUUGGGUGAUACUGGCUACCAAUUUGAAGGGGAUAAACUUUGCAACUUAUCAACUCAAAGAUAUUUCUUAUCAGUGGUAUGAGGAGUGGGACACAGAGAGGGGUG